CCUACGGGAGGCAGCAGUAGGGAAUAUUGCUCAAUGGGGGAAACCCUGAAGCAGCAACGCCGCGUGGAGGAUGAAGGUUUUCGGAUUGUAAACCCCUUUUGUCAGAGAAGAUAAUGACGGUACCUAACGAAUAAGCACCGGCUAACUCCGUGCCAGCAGCCGCGGUAAUACGGAGGGUGCAAGCGUUACUCGCAAUCACUGGGCGUAAAGGGCGCGUAGGCGGGAUAGCAAGUCAGAGGUGAAAUCCUAUGGCCUAACCAUAGAACUGCCUUGGAAACUGUGAUUCUAGAGUAGGGGAGAGGUAGGUGGAAUUCUUGGUGUAGGGGUGAAAUGCGUAGAGAUCAAGAGGAAUACUCAUUGCGAAGGCGGCCUACUGGAGCCUAACUGACGCUGAGGCGCGAAAGCGUGGGGAGCAAACAGGAUUAGAUACCCCGGUAGUC
rnacentral:rRNA from 1 species